ANGGAGGUGGCUAUCGUUAUCGGNUAUGACUGGNUGUAAAUGGGUCCGUAGGCGGCCAUAUGUGUGGUAGGUGAAAGCUUUCGGCUUAACCGAAAAAUUGCCUAUCAAACUGUAUGGCUUGAGGAUGGAAGAGGUGAGCGGAACUGCCGGUGUAAGGGUGAAAUCUGUGGAUAUCGGCAGGAACGCCAGCGGAGAAGUCGGCUCUCUGGUCCAUUCCUGACGCUCAGGGNACGAAAGCUAGGGGAGCGAACAGGAUUAGAUACCCUGGUAGUCCUAGCUGUAAACGAUGGGCACUAGAUGCUCGUUCUUUUGAAUGGGUGUCGUAGCUAACGCGUUAAGUGCCCCACCUGGGGACUACGGUCGCAAGACUAAAACUCAAAGGAAUUGACGGGGGCCUGCACAAGCGGUGGAACACGUGGUUUAAUUCGAUGCUACGCGAGGAACCUUACCAGGGCUUGACAUGCUGGAAGUAGCCACCCGAAAGGAUUGGCCACCUGUAACCAAUCAGGAACCAGUGCAGGUGCUGCAUGGCUGUCGUCAGCUCGUGCCGUGAGGUGUUCCCUUAAGUGGGAAAACGAGCGCAACCCUCGUUCCUUAGUUGCCACCUUCGAGUAAUCGGAGCGCACUCUAAGGAGACUGCCCGCGUUAAGUGGGAGGAAGGUGAGGAUGACGUCAAGUCCGCAUGGCCCUUAUGCCCUGGGCUACACACGUGUUACAA
rnacentral:rRNA from 1 species